rnacentral:rRNA from 1 species
AAAUGAAUAGACGGGGGCCCGCACAAGCGGUGGAGCAUGUGGUUUAAUUCGACGCAACGCGAAGAACCUUACCAGGUCUUGACAUCCGGUGCAAGACACUAGAGAUAGUGGGAUAGUUAUGGCCGAGACAGGUGGUGCAUGGUUGUCGUCAGCUCGUGUCGUGAGAUGUUUGGUUAAGUCCAGCAACGAGCGCAACCCUUGUCCUUAGUUGCCAUCAUUAAGUUGGGGACUCUAAGGAGACUGCCGGUGUAAAUCGGAGGAAGGUGGGGAUGACGUCAAAUCAUCAUGCCCUUUAUGACCUGGGCUACACACGUGCUACAAUGGGCGGUACAAAGAGAAGCGAGACAGUGAUGUUAAGCAAACCUCAAAAAGCCGCUCUCAGUUCGGAUUGAAGUCUGCAACUCGACUUCAUGAAGCCGGAAUCGCUAGUAAUCGCGAAUCAGCAACGUCGCGGUGAAUACGUUCUCGGGCCUUGUACACACCGCCCGU